rnacentral:pre_miRNA from 1 species
CUCGGGGAGGGGUAGUCCCUCAGCCUGGAUUGCGAGAGGACACAGGUCAGGCCAAGGGACCCCACUGGUGCACG